rnacentral:rRNA from 1 species
GCGUUGGAUUAGCCAGUUGGCAGGGUAACGGCCUACCAAAGCGACGAUCCAUAGCCGGCCUGAGAGGGCGACCGGCCACAUUGGGACUGAGACACGGCCCAAACUCCUACGGGAGGCAGCAGUGGGGAAUAUUGCACAAUGGGGGAAACCCUGAUGCAGCGACGCCGCGUGAGCGAAGAAGUAUUUCGGUAUGUAAACUUCUAUCAGCAGGGAAGAAAAUGACGGUACCUGAGUAAGAAGCACCGGCUAAAUAC